rnacentral:misc_RNA from 1 species
CCGAGUUAUACAACUCCCAACCCUUUGUGAACAUACCAAAACGUUGCUUCGGCGGGAACGCCCCGGGCCCACGGCCCGGAACCAGGCGCCCGCCGGGGGACCCAAACUCUUGUUUCUAACUGCAUUCUCCUCUGAGUGACAUAAACAAAUCAAUAA